rnacentral:tRNA from 1 species
GGCAGUAGCUCAAGAUUAGAGCAUUCGCCUCAUAUGCGGAAAAGCCCCGGUUCCACUCCCGGCUGCUUCG